rnacentral:rRNA from 1 species
GUUGAACGCUGGCGGCAGGCUUAACACAUGCAAGUCGAGCGAUCGGCGGCCGGGUGAGUAAUGUCUGGAAACCUGCCUGAUGGAGGGGGAUAACUACUGUACACGGUAGCUAAUCCCGCAUACCUUCAGUUGUGCCCAGGGGGGCUUAGCUAGUAGGUGGGGUAAUGGCUAACCUAGGCGACGAUCCCUAGCUGGUCUGAGAGGGUGACCAGCCACACUGGAACUGAGACACGGUCCAGACUCCUACGGGAGGAAGCAGUGGGGAAUAUUGCGCAAGGGGCGCAAGCCGGAUGCAGCCAUGCCGCGUGGGUGAAGAAGGCGUUCGGUUUGUAAAGCAUUUUCAGCGAGGAGGCGUUACCCGCAGAGGAAGCACCGGCUAACUCCGUGCCAGCAGCCGCGGUAAUAC